AUUAAAUAGUUUUAAUCAUUUUUAAUUAUUAAAGCUAUUUAAUUUCGGUAUUUAAGAGCAGAAGGGUAUUUUGGUCAUUUUACCAAAAGAGUAUUGAGUAUUUCCACAAAGAAGUAUUUUAGUAUUUUCAAGGAAGUAUUUUAUUAAUAUUAGUAGGAAGAUUAUUUUGGAAAUUUAUCAUCAAAUGUAUUUUGGCAAUUUGAUGAGUAAGGGCAUUUUGGUCUUACCCAAAAUGACUACCACUAUAAAAAGGGGAAAACCUAAAGUUUCCCAUCUUUUUUCCAUCUUCUUCACUAGCCACCAUUUCUUCAAAAAGGAGUAAGAAGUUCAUUUCUCUCUCAAACUCUAGUUUUCCUCAAGUAAGUUUUCUUCAAGUAAUUUCUUCAAUAAUUCUAGCUUCUAAUCUAGUUUUGUUUUUGAAAUUUAUAGGAAGAUCUAGCUUGCAAUUAUCAAAGGGAAGCAAAAGGUUUCAAGAAUAAUUAAAGCCAGUCAAACUUUUGACUGUUGAUUUUUGUGUAAUCAAGAGUUUAGAGAAGAAGUUGCAGGUACAAGUUCUUGAUGUGCAUGGAAAUCAUAAGCAUCCGGAUGGGAAUUUUCAGUCACGAGUACUUUAUUAUUUAAGUUAUCUUAAUUUUAUAUUUGACUUUACUUGACCAAUGGGGUCAAGGUUUGACUUUUGAAAUGGGACUAGUAUGGGAUAGUCUCGGAGUUUGUAAUUCAUUUACAUACUUUCUUAUUUCCGUUGUAUUAAAGUAUUUCAGUUUAUUUUAAAAGACUUCCGCUGUAUUAUCUGAUUAGCCUUACGUAUUAUCAUGCGUGGCAUAACAACUCCCGCAAUUUCUCCUAGUUUAUAAAAGGAGGAGUCGUGGGGGUGUUACAAAGUGGUUACCAGAGCUCCAAGGUUUAUAUUACCUUAUUUUACAAAAGUUUUCGAACUUAAAAGUAUUUCAAAGUCGAAUUGCAAAAAGGGAAGGGAAUUGCAUAUGCAUAUGUACAUUG